rnacentral:rRNA from 1 species
GAAUGUAUGAGAAUACUACUUGGAUAACCGUAGUAAUUCUAGAGCUAAUACAUGCAACGACGCCCGACCGUUUCACUACGGAAGGGCUGUAUUUAUUGGAUACCAAAACCAUCCUUCCCUUGGGAAGUUUUGUUUGAUGAUUCACAAUAACUGAUCGGAUCGCCACUGUGGUGGCGACAGGUCAUUCAACAUUCUGCCCUAUCAGCUUUCGAUGGUUGUGUAGUGGACAACCAUGGCCAUAACGGGUAACGGAGAAUCAGGGUUCGAUUCCGGAGAAGGAGCUUGAGAAUAGGCUACUACAUCUAAGGAUGGCAGCAGGCGCGCAAAUUACCCAAUCCCGAUUCGGGGAGGUAGUGACAAAAAAUAACAAUACCGGGCCUUUUUGGGCUUGGUAAUUGGAAUGAGGGAGUGUUAAACGGACCAUCCAGUAUCCAUUGGAGGGCAAGUCUGGUGCCAGCAGCUGCGGUAAUACCAGCUCCAAUAGCGUAUAUUAAAGUUGUUGCAGUUAAAAAGCUCGUAGUUGGACUUGUGUGCGCUGUCCGCGGGUGGCCUGCGCCCAAAAGGGGCGUUUCGGUUCGGCCCCGGUGGCGCCUUGAAAUCUGCAGCUGGGGGGACGUUGGCCUUAACUGGUCGGCGACCGCACGCCGGCUGCUCGGUUACUGUGAGAAAAUUAGAGUGUUCAAGGCAGGCAUUGGGUGCAAUUGAAUACAUUAGCAUGGAAUAAUAAAAUAUGGCUCCUGCCGUAUUUUGUUGGUUUUGACUGGUGGGAGUAAUGAUUGAUAGGGACGGUUGGGGGUGCUAGUAUUGAGCGGCCUGAGGUGAAAUUCAUGGAUUCGCUCAAGACUAACUUAUGCGAAAGCAUUCACCAAGGACGUCCUCUUUAAUCAAGAACGAAAGUUGGGGGAUCGAAGACGAUCAGAUACCGUCGUAGUCUCAACCAUAAACUAUGUCGACUUGGGAUCGGCGGUAGUUUUUUCAUUAAGACACUGUCGGGACCACGGGAGAAAUCAAAGUGUCUGGACUCUGGGGGAAGUAUGGUCGCAAGGCUGAAACUUGAAGGAAUUGACGGAAGGGCACCACCAGGAGUGGAGCCUGCGGCUUAAUUUGACUCAACACGGGGAAACUUACCAGGUCCAGAGAUGUAGAGGAUUGACAGAUUGAAGCUCUUUCUUGAUCACUUCGGUGGUGGUGCAUGGCCGUUCUUAGUUGUUGGAGUGAUUUGUCUGGUUAAUUCCGUUAACGAACGAGACCUCAGCCUGCUAGUGUAGUCGGCUGGAUUGCCUUUGGCGAUCCGUGAUUUCGACUUUUUAGAGGGACAAUCGACGCGCAGUCGAUGGAAGUUUGAGGCAAUAACAGGUCUGUGAUCC